rnacentral:lncRNA from 1 species
CCACAACUCCUCUUCAGUAACAAAUAAUUCAAACUAGAACUCCCAGGUAGAGUGAUUUUUUCUAGUGAAUUUAAUACAAAAGUUGAAGUUGCUGGAAGAUGUACCUAUGUUUUACUAAGAAUCGAAGUGAAAUUGGAAACUAACCAAAAUCCAAAAGACUUCAGAAGCUAACACAAACUCCUCUGUUGUAGUAUACAACCAAACUGGGAGAAGAAAUCUGACUAUAGGACUUUGACAAAAUUUAAACCUUAAAAACCAAAGUAACGGAAUCAAAUAAA